rnacentral:rRNA from 1 species
GAUGAACGCUGGCGGCGUGCUUAACACAUGCAAGUCGAACGGAAAGGCCCAAGCUUGCUUGGGUCCUCGAGUGGCGAACGGGUGAGUAACACGUGGGUGAUCUGCCCUGCACUUCGGGAUAAGCCUGGGAAACUGGGUCUAAUACCGGAUAGGACCACAUUUUGGAUGGUGUGGUGGAAAGUUUUUCGGUGUGGGAUGAGCUCGCGGCCUAUCAGCUUGUUGGUGGGGUAAUGGCCUACCAAGGCGUCGACGGGUAGCCGGCCUGAGAGGGUGUACGGCCACAUUGGGACUGAGAUACGGCCCAGACUCCUACGGGAGGCAGCAGUGGGGAAUAUUGCACAAUGGGCGCAAGCCUGAUGCAGCGACGCCGCGUGGGGGAUGACGGCCUUCGGGUUGUAAACUCCUUUCGCUAGGGAAGAAGCGUUUUUGUGACGGUACCUGGAGAAGAAGCACCGGCUAACUACGUG